rnacentral:rRNA from 1 species
AGUGAACGCUGGCGGUAGGCCUAACACAUGCAAGUCGAACGGCAGCACAGUAAGAGCUUGCUCUUACGGGUGGCGAGUGGCGGACGGGUGAGGAAUACAUCGGAAUCUACUUUUUCGUGGGGGAUAACGUAGGGAAACUUACGCUAAUACCGCAUACGACCUACGGGUGAAAGCAGGGGAUCUUCGGACCUUGCGCGAUUGAAUGAGCCGAUGUCGGAUUAGCUAGUUGGCGGGGUAAAGGCCCACCAAGGCGACGAUCCGUAGCUGAUCUGAGAGGAUGAUCAGCCACACUGGAACUGAGACACGGUCCAGACUCCUACGGGAGGCAGCAGUGGGGAAUAUUGGACAAUGGGCGCAAGCCUGAUCCAGCCAUACCGCGUGAGUGAAGAAGGCCUUCGGAUUGUAAAGCCCUUUUGUUGGGAAAGAAAAGCAGCAGGUUAAUACCCCGCUGUUCUGACGGUACCCAAAGAAUAAGCACCGGCUAACUUCGUG